AGUUUCUUGUGUUUUAAUAAGAAAUGAUUUCUGCUCAAUGAUUUUAAAUAGCCGCGGUAAUUUGACUGUGCAAAGGUAGCGUAAUCAUUUGCUUUAUAAUUGAGGGCUUGUAUGAAAGGAAACACGAGAGUUGGUCUGUCUCUUUUAAUUAAUUAGAAUUUGUUUUUAAUGUGAAGAAACAUUAAUAAAAAAAAUAGACAAGAAGACCCUUUUGAUCUUUAUUUCAUGAUAAUUUUUUUUUUAGUGAAAUUUGGUUGGGGCGACCUAGGAAAAAGAUAUCUUCCUUGAUUAUUAUGGUCCAUGAUUUGUGGUGUUUAGAAUAAGUUACCAAAGGGAUAACAGCGUAAUUUUUUUUAUGAGUUCUUAUUUAAAAAAAAGAUUGCGACCUCGAUGUUGACUUAUAUUUUCCGUUAGGUGCAGAUGCUUAAAUGGUUGGUCUGUUCGACCUUUAAAAUUUU
rnacentral:rRNA from 1 species